GAUGAACGCUGGCGGCAUGCCUAAUACAUGCAAGUCGAACGGACGACAAAGAGUGCUUGCACUCGAUGAAGUUAGUGGCGAACGGGUGAGUAACACGUGGGUAACCUGCCCAUUUGAUAGGGAUAACCGUUGGAAACGACGACUAAUACCUAAUAGGUUAAUAUGAGGCAUCUCGUAUUAAUUAAAGUUGCGUUCGCAACACAAAUGGAUGGACCCGCGGUGCAUUAGCUAGUUGGUAAGGUAAAGGCUUACCAAGGCGAUGAUGCAUAGCCGACCUGAGAGGGUGAUCGGCCACAUUGGGACUGAGACACGGCCCAAACUCCUACGGGAGGCAGCAGUAGGGAAUUUUCGGCAAUGGGGGCAACCCUGACCGAGCAAUGCCGCGUGAGUGAAGACGCAAUUCGUUGUGUAAAGCUCUGUUGUAAGGGAAGAAUAAGGUAGAGAGGAAAUGUUCUAUCGAUGACGGUACCUUACCAGAAAGCCACGGCUAACUACGUGCCAGCAGCCGCGGUAAUACGUAGGUGGCAAGCGUUAUCCGGAAUUAUUGGGCGUAAAGGGUGCGCAGGCGGUAAAUUAAGUUUGAGGUAAAAGGCUACAGCUCAACUGUAGUAGGCCUUGAAAACUGAUAUACUAGAGUACAGGAGAGGGUGAUGGAAUUCCAUGUGUAGCGGUAAAAUGCGUAGAUAUAUGGAGGAACACCGGUGGCGAAGGCGAUCACCUGGACUGUAACUGACGCUCAAGCACGAAAGCGUGGGGAGCAAAUAGGAUUAGAUACCCUAGUAGUCCACGCCGUAAACGAUGAGAACUAAGUGUUGGGGAAACUCAGUGCUGCAGUUAACGCAAUAAGUUCUCCGCCUGGGGAGUAUGCACGCAAGUGUGAAACUCAAAGGAAUUGACGGGGGCCCGCAUAAGCGGUGGAGUAUGUGGUUUAAUUCGAAGCAACGCGAAGAACCUUACCAGGUCUUGACAUGGUGUUAAAAGCUUUAGAGAUAGAGUUAUAGUUAUAACACACACAGGUGGUGCAUGGUUGUCGUCAGCUCGUGUCGUGAGAUGUUGGGUUAAGUCCCGCAACGAGCGCAACCCUUGUUUCUAGUUGCCAGCAUUAAGUUGGGGACUCUAGAGAGACUGCCGAUGAGAAAUCGGAGGAAGGUGGGGAUGACGUCAAAUCAUCAUGCCCCUUAUGACCUGGGCUACACACGUACUACAAUGGCUAUUACAAAGAGAAGCGACCCAGCGAUGGUAAGCAAAUCUCAUAAAGGUAGUCUCAGUUCGGAUUGGAGUCUGCAACUCGGCUCCAUGAAGUCGGAAUCGCUAGUAAUCGUAGAUCAGCAUGCUACGGUGAAUACGUUCUCGGGCCU
rnacentral:rRNA from 1 species